UACGUAGGUGGCAAGCGUUGUCCGGAUUUACUGGGCGUAAAGAGCGCGCAGGCGGUCGUUCAAGUCGCGUGUGAAAGCCCCCGGCUCAACUGGGGAGGGUCACGCGAUACUGAUCGACUGGAAGGCAGGAGAGGGUAGUGGAAUUCCCGGUGUAGUGGUGAAAUGCGUAGAUAUCGGGAGGAACACCAGUGGCGAAGGCGACUACCUGGCCUGUUCUUGACGCUGAGGAGCGAAAGCGUGGGGAGCAAACAGG
rnacentral:rRNA from 1 species